UACGUAGGUGACAAGCGUUGUCCGGAUUUACUGGGCGUAAAGAGCUCGUAGGCGGUCUGUCGCGUCUGCUGUCGAAAACUCAGGGCUUAACCCUGAGCUGCAGUGGGUACGGGCAGACUAGAGUCCGGAAGAGGAGAGUGGAAUCCCGGUGUAGCGGUGAAAUGCGCAGAUAUCGGGAAGAACACCCGUGGCGAAGGCGGCUCUCUGGGACGGUACUGACGCUGAGACGCGAAAGCGUGGGAGCGAACAGG
rnacentral:rRNA from 1 species